AACGAACGCUGGCGGCAGGCUUAACACAUGCAAGUCGAGCGCCCCGCAAGGGGAGCGGCAGACGGGAGAGUAACGCGUGGGACUCUACCCAUCCCUACGGAAUAACGCAGGGAAACGUGUGCUAAUACCGUAUACGUCCUUGGGGAGCAAGAUUUAUCGGAGAUGGAUGAGCCCGUGUUGGAUGGGCUAGUUGGUGGGGUAAAGGCCUACCAAGGCGAGGAUCCAUAGGUGGUGUGAGAGGAUGAGCAGCCACACUGGGACGGAGACACGGCCCAGACUCCUACGGGAGGCAGCAGUGGGGAAUAUUGGACAAUGGGCGCAAGCCUGAUCCAGCCAUGCCGCGUGAGUGAUGAAGGCCCUAGGGUUGUAAAGCUCUUUCACCGGUGAAGAUAAUGACGGUAACCGGAGAAGAAGCCCCGGCUAACUUCGUGCCAGCAGCCGCCGUAACAC
rnacentral:rRNA from 1 species